rnacentral:rRNA from 1 species
AUUGAACGCUGGCGGAAUGCUUUACACAUGCAAGUCGAACGGCAGCACGGGGGCAACCCUGGUGGCGAGUGGCGGACGGGUGAGUAAUACAUCGGAACGUGCCCGGUCGUGGGGGAUAACGUAGCGAAAGUUACGCUAAUACCGCAUACGAUCUGAGGAUGAAAGCGGGGGACCUUCGGUCCUCGCGCGAUCGGAGCGGCCGAUGUCAGAUUAGGGAGUUGGUGGGGUAAAGGCCUACCAAGCCGACUAUCUGUAGCUGGUCUGAGAGGACGACCAGCCACACUGGGACUGAGACACGGCCCAGACUCCUACGGGAGGCAGCAGUGGGGAAUUUUGGACAAUGGGCGCAAGCCUGAUCCAGCCAUUCCGCGUGCAGGACGAAGGCCUUCGGGUUGUAAACUGCUUUUGUAUGGAACGAAAAGGCUCUGGCUAAUACCUGGGGCUCAUGACGGUACCGUAAGAAUAAGCACCGGCUAACUACGUG